UACGUAGGGUGCAAGCGUUGUCCGGAAUUAUUGGGCGUAAAGAGCGUGUAGGCGGCUUGGUAGGUCCGCUGUGAAAACUCGAGGCUCAACCUCGAGAUGUCGGCGGAAACCACUUGGCUAGAGUCCGGAAGAGGAGAGUGGAAUUCCCGGUGUAGCGGUGAAAUGCGCAGAUAUCGGGAAGAACACCUAUGGCGAAGGCAGCUCUCUGGGACGGUACUGACGCUGAGACGGGAAAGCGUGGGGAGCGAACAGG
rnacentral:rRNA from 1 species